GUUCAGGCAUGGCUUUGCCGCGCAUUCGUCUAUAUCGAUCUCGCACUGGGUGCCAGUGAAACCUGAAACAACGGCAAACGAAAUUAUUCUCCCGAUAUGAGCUAAAUUAGAUAUAAUACCUCUGUAUAAGGUUCGGGAGGAAUUUGUCCAGUGCUUAUCGCUUUCAUCUUUGAGUAUAAUUGUAAGUAAUAUACAUCCGCAUAUACGUGUACAUCUGACGACGAAGCCAUUUUCGUAUGGAGCGCGACUCGCGAAAUUACGAAUAUCGUGGAGCAUUACCUUCGAUACAUCCUCGAUUAGACGCGGCAAUCGAGGCAAGGGGCACCGAACCCGGAUCAACCAGAUAAACGUCCACCGCUAAUUGCGUCUCUUUACGCUUUUUUCCUCUCGCUGAUUCUUAUCCGUCGUCUAACGCCGACGAUGUCUAUAAUCGUGUCAAUUAUCGACAGUAAUAACAACUGACCGACGAUUAACAAGUUUCAACAACGAAUAACUCGGCCAUCUCAUUCGAUUUUCUUCAGCUUUAACGUCAACUUAGCUUUAACGCUGCUGCAUCGAAUGUACUCUUUUGCGUUCCAACGUAAUUGAAUAGAAGUAUUUAAACCAACCGAUUGGGAUGAAAUGUCGGGCGAAAAGAUAUGACGACGCUAAAGUACAAGCAGCAAAAUGCAAAAGACGCGAUCCAAAUGGUCCGGCCGCUUAAUUGGCGCAGAAUUCAUUUAGAAGAAUAAGCCAGGGAAUUGAGCAACGAAUCGUAAGCGCGACUAUCGAGAAAUUCUUUGGCCGUAUACGGCUGACUAGCGAUGACUCCUCUCAAUGGGAGAAAGUUAUCGUUCGAGAUGCUUGGCCUUCCGCGUUACAAGGAUUCGAUCGAACGGAGCGCAAAUGCUGCGUCAGGCAAAACUGAUCGGAAUCGCCGCUGCGAACGAAUCUAUUUUUUUUAGUAGCUUUAGAAAGCUACUUGACGUUCUACGCAACGUUUUCAGUUUAUUGAAAAACAAAAGGAUAUACAAAUUUGCCACUGUCCGACGAAUGGUCGUUAAAGAUUAGCAGGAAUAUUUCUGAAAUAGGCGUCUAAUCCAUAGUUGGAUGUAAAUUUAUC